CCAGCCCAAGGAACAUCUCACCAAUUUUAAAUCAGGGAGAUCACACAUAAAGAAACUCUCCUUUCCUUCCAACUGGUGGGGUUCCUCAUGUGAUGGAUGUCUCCAAUUCCAAGCAAUAUUACAGCUAGCAGUUCAGUACCUCUCUGCUCAGCAGUGAAGGAAAUCUAAUGGAAACUUAGAAAAAGAAUGAAAACUCUAUCCCUAGUUUUCUAAGGAACACAUAUGGCACAGAGACAGGACUGGCAGCAAACAAAGAUAAAUGAAGAGUCACCCUCAGUGAAAUCCUGACUGCUGCUUUAAGUUCUCUACCACAUUUUGGAUUUUAGUGUUAGGAUUAUUUCUGAAGGAGUCUUCUGAACCUCAUGUUACUUACAGGAAAAACAAUAGAAUUUGAUUUACAUAAAUGUCCUUCUCAAACCCUUUGAUCAAUGGUGCUCAAGUUCCAUUUUAUCUGUAUACCCAUAGUUAUUCAAUUGUUUAACUCAUUUUCUGAGCAACCAAGUUCUCAGUGCAGAGAACUCAAUUAUGUUGUUUGCUUUUCUGAUCCACCAUCUUCUGUGUGCACUCAUGAUAGGAUGAACAUGGGAUGAAAUCAUAUUUGUAAUGAAUUAUAGAAUGAUCCCUGAAGGUAGAGUACUUGUAAUUAUAUUUAUAUAUCUUUUGUGGUUCAUAUCUCAUAAGCGAUAGAUCCAUGCUUAUCAUGUUAAUCGUGUUAUUCAUUGGAUUUAGGAUCUGACUUGCCUCCACCGGAGACUGCUUCCAAGUCUGAUUUUUGCAAGUCACUGAACAUUUCUUCCUGGUCGUAAAAU
rnacentral:lncRNA from 10 species